ACCUCGGAUCAGGUAGGGAUACCCGCUGAACUUAAGCAUAUCAAUAAGCGGAGGAAAAGAAACCAACAGGGAUUGCCUCAGUAACGGCGAGUGAAGCGGCAACAGCUCAAAUUUGAAAUCUGGCCUCUUUGGGGUCCGAGUUGUAAUUUGUAGAGGAUGUUUCGGGUACCGCCUCGGUUUAAAUUUCUUGGAACAGAAUGUCAAAGAGGGUGAGAAUCCCGUCUUGGACCGGCGGUAGGGCCCAUGUGAAACUCCUUCGACGAGUCGAGUUGUUUGGGAAUGCAGCUCAAAAUGGGUGGUAAAUUUCAUCUAAAGCUAAAUAUUGGCCAGAGACCGAUAGCGCACAAGUAGAGUGAUCGAAAGAUGAAAAGCACUUUGAAAAGAGAGUUAAACAGUAUGUGAAAUUGUUGAAAGGGAAGCGCUUACAACCAGACUUGCGCGCGGCGGUUCCCCCUUCCUUUUGGUUGGGCUACUCCGUCGUGUCCAGGCCAACAUCGGUUCUGGGGGUCGGUUAAAGACCCUGGGAAUGUAUCUACCCUUCGGGCGUAGACUUAUAGCUCAGGGUGUCAUGCGACCUCCCGGGACCGAGGAAC
rnacentral:rRNA from 1 species